rnacentral:tRNA from 1 species
GCNGAGGUGGUGAAAUUGGUAGACACGCUGGAUUCAAAAUCCAGUGUCCUCGCGGACGUGUGGGUUCAAGUCCCACCCUCGGUACAA